rnacentral:lncRNA from 1 species
CACCCAUGUCACUGUCAUAUACCUGCCAUCUGUGUCACUGUCAUAUACCUGCCACCCAUGUCAGUGUCAUAUACCUGCCAUCUGUGUCACUGUCAUAUACCUGUCACCUGUGUCACUGUCAUAUACCUGUCACUGUGUCACUGUCAUAUACCUGCCACCCAUAUCAGUGUCCCACACCCGCCACCCCUGUCACUGUCCCACCAGGGAGCACCAGGGGCCACACCUGUACCCGUGUCACUGUCAUGUACCUGUCACCUAUGUCACUGUCCCACCAGGCACUGCCCGGGGGCCAAACCCGCCACCCAUGUCAUUGUCACACACCUGCCACCCAUGUCACUGUCCCAUCAAAGGGUUCAGGGGAACGCCGGGGGCCAGACCUGCCACCUCUGCCACCGUCGCACCAAAGAGUGCAGGGGACCAACACUGGGGCCACACCUGCCGCCCGUGUCACUGUCCCACACCUGCUGCCCGUGUCACUGUCCCACACCUACUGCCCGUGUCACUGUCCCACACCUGCCGCCCGUGUCACUGUCCCACACCUGCUGCCCGUGUCACUGUCCCACACCUGCCGCCCGUGUCACUGUCCCACACCUGCCGCCCGUGUCACUGUCCCACCGAAGGGUGCAGGGAGGAGCUGUCUGCACUUACCGGGGGUGCCGGGGCGCUGGGGCCAGCGCAGGCUCAGCCCUGUGGAGGAGCAGAGGGGGAUCCCGUGUCCCUGUGUCCGUGUGGCCGUGUGUCCGUGUGUCCGUGUGUCCGUGUGUGCCUGCGUGUGUCUGUGUGCGCGUGUGAGUCUGUGCGCCCCCUUUUUCCUCUCCCUCUCUCCCUUUCUCUCUCUCUCUUUUUGAACUGUAGCUCUUGAAUGCGUGCCAUUCCUUAGACUUUCAGUCUGUUAAAGGAUUUUAAUUAGGCCUUGACUCCACAUCACCGUGGGUGCCUUUGUGGACUGGUGAAUGGUACAAGAGUAGUGUGAAUCCAGCCCCUAUCCAGCACUAGGCAGCCGUGUAAGAAAUACU